UCCCUAGUAGCGGCGAGCGAGCGGGAAGAGCUCAAAUUUAUAAUCUGGCACCUUCGGUGUCCGAGUUGUAAUCUCUAGAAGUGUUUUCCGCGUUGGACCGCACACAAGUCUGUUGGAAUACAGCGGCAUAGUGGUGAAACCCCCGUAUAUGGUGCGGACGCCCAGCGCUUUGUGAUACACUUUCAAUGAGUCGAGUUGUUUGGGAAUGCAGCUCAAAUUGGGUGGUAAAUUCCAUCUAAAGCUAAAUAUUGGCGAGAGACCGAUAGCGAACAAGUACCGUGAGGGAAAGAUGAAAAGCACUUUGGAAAGAGAGUUAACAGUACGUGAAAUUGUUGGAAGGGAAACGCUUGAAGUCAGACUUGCUUGCCGGAGCUUGCUUCGGUUUGCAGGCCAGCAUCAGUUUUCCGGGGUGGAUAAUGACGGUUUGAAGGUAGCAGUCUCGGCUGUGUUAUAGCUUUCCGUUGGAUACAUCCUGGGGGACUGAGGAACGCAGCGUGCUUUUUGCGAAAGACUCGUCUUUUUCACGCUUAGGAUGCUGGUGGAAUGGCUUUAAACGACCCGUCUUGAAACACGGACCA
rnacentral:rRNA from 1 species